UGCAGAUGACUGCCAGUGAGCGCAGG
rnacentral:misc_RNA from 1 species